rnacentral:rRNA from 1 species
AAUUGGAGGGCAAGUCUGGUGCCAGCAGCCGCGGUAAUUCCAGCUCCAGUAGCGUAUAUUAAAGUUGUUGCAGUUAAAAAGCUCGUAGUUGAAUUUCGGGAUCAAUAUUUCGGUCAUGCCGUUGGUAUGCACUGUUAUCAUUGAUUUCUCACCUUCUAAAGAACCGUAAUGCCAUUAAUUUGGUGUUACGGGGAAUUAGGACUGUUACCUUGAAAAAAUUAGAGUGUUUAAAGCAGGCUCACGCUUGAAUACAUUAGCAUGGAAUAAUGAAAUAGGACAUCCGAUUCUAUUUUGUUGGUUUCUAGGAUCGAUGUAAUGAUUAAUAGGGAUAGUUGGGGGCAUUAGUAUUCAAUUGUCAGAGGUGAAAUUCUUGGAUUUAUUGAAGACUAACUACUGCGAAAGCAUUUGCCAAGGAUGUUUUCAUUAAUCAAGAACGAAAGUUAGGGGAUCGAAGACGAUCAGAUACCGUCGUAGUCUUAACCAUAAACUAUGCCGACUAGGGAUCGGAUGAUGUUAAUUUUUUAAUGACUCAUUCGGCGCCUUACGGGAAACCAAAGUGU